rnacentral:rRNA from 1 species
GAUGAACGCUGGCGGCGUGCCUAAUACAUGCAAGUCGAGCGAACGGACGAGAAGCUUGCUUCUCUGAUGUUAGCGGCGGACGGGUGAGUAACACGUGGAUAACCUACCUAUAAGACUUGGAUAACUUCGUGAAACCGGAGCUAAUACCGGAUGAUAUUUUGAACCGCAUGGUUCAAAAGUUAAAGACGGUCUUGCUGUCACUUAUAGAUGGAUCCGCGCUGCAUUAGCUAGUUGGUAAGGUAACGGCUUACCAAGGCAACGAUGCAUAGCCGACCUGAGAGGGUGAUCGGCCACACUGGAACUGAGACACGGUCCAGACUCCUACGGGAGGCAGCAGUAGGGAAUCUUCCGCAAUGGGCGAAAGCCUGACGGAGCAACGCCGCGUGAGUGAUGAAGGUCUUCGGAUCGUAAAACUCUGUUAUUAGGGAAGAAAAUAUGUGUAAGUAACUGUGCACAUCUUGACGGUACCUAAUCAGAAAGCCACGGCUAACUACGUG